rnacentral:rRNA from 1 species
AUUGAACGCUGGCGGCAGGCCUAACACAUGCAAGUCGAACGGUAACAGGAAGAAGCUUGCUUCUUUGCUGACGAGUGGCGGACGGGUGAGUAAUGUCUGGGAAACUGCCUGAUGGAGGGGGAUAACUACUGGAAACGGUAGCUAAUACCGCAUAACGUCGCAAGACCAAAGAGGGGGACCUUCGGGCCUCUUGCCAUCGGAUGUGCCCAGAUGGGAUUAGCUAGUAGGUGGGGUAACGGCUCACCUAGGCGACGAUCCCUAGCUGGUCUGAGAGGAUGACCAGCCACACUGGAACUGAGACACGGUCCAGACUCCUACGGGAGGCAGCAGUGGGGAAUAUUGCACAAUGGGCGCAAGCCUGAUGCAGCCAUGCCGCGUGUAUGAAGAAGGCCUUCGGGUUGUAAAGUACUUUCAGCGGGGAGGAAGGGAGUAAAGUUAAUACCUUUGCUCAUUGACGUUCCCCGCAGAAGAAGCACCGGCUAACUCCGUGC